rnacentral:rRNA from 1 species
AAACCGUUCGGGGGAAAACGGACAGAGCCCGUGAAUCCGGACGGCAGAAUUCAAGAUUGAUGGCGUUGCGUCGUCGGUUUGAUAUUUCCGCCGUCAGACGGACGUCGCGACCCGUUUGGUGUCGGUCUGAGGAGACGUGCUUACGUUCGUUGAUGUGUCGGUAGGCACGCACGAGUCGUUCGUAUCCGGCCGACUCGCCAGACGGUAUAUCGAUGGUGACCGCGACGGUCGAGCGCCGUGGUACCGGUUUGCGACGAAUCUUCGGGUCUCUUUCCGA